rnacentral:rRNA from 1 species
UACGAAGGGGGCUAGCGUUGCUCGGAAUCACUGGGCGUAAAGGGCGCGUAGGCGGCCUGAUCAGUCGGGGGUGAAAGCCUGUGGCUCAACCACAGAAUGGCCUUCGAUACUGUCGGGCUUGAGACCGGAAGAGGUAAGUGGAACUGCGAGUGUAGAGGUGAAAUUCGUAGAUAUUCGCAAGAACACCAGUGGCGAAGGCGGCUUACUGGGCCGGAUCUGACGCUGAGGCGCGAAAGCGUGGGGAGCAAACAGG